rnacentral:rRNA from 1 species
UACGUAGGGUGCAAGCGUUGUCCGGAAUUAUUGGGCGUAAAGAGCUCGUAGGCGGUUUGUCGCGUCUGCUGUGAAAACUCGGGGCUUAACCCCGGGCCUGCAGUGGGUACGGGCAGACUAGAGUGCGGUAGGGGAGACUGGAAUUCCUGGUGUAGCGGUGAAAUGCGUAGAGAUCGGGAAGAACAUCGGUGGCGAAAGCGCUCUGCUGGACUGCAACUGACACUCAGGGACGAAAGCUAGGGGAGCGAAUGGG